UACGGAGGAGGCAAGCGUUAUCCGGAAUUAUUGGGCGUAAAGCGUCCGCAGGUGGCAGUUCAAGUCUGCUGUCAAAUCCGGUAGCUCAACUACCGUCCGGCAGUGGAAACUGAACAGCUAGAGAGUCGUAGGGGUAGAGGGAAUUCCCGGUGUAGCGGUGAAAUGCGUAGAGAUCGGGAAGAACAUCGGUGGCGAAGGCGCUCUACUGGACGACAUCUGACACUCAGGGACGAAAGCUAGGGGAGCGAAUGGG
rnacentral:rRNA from 1 species